rnacentral:rRNA from 1 species
AGAUUGAACGCUGGCGGCAUGCCUUACACAUGCAAGUCGAACGGUAACGCGGGGCAACCUGGCGACGAGUGGCGAACGGGUGAGUAAUACAUCGGAACGUGCCCAGUAGAGGGGGAUAGCCCGGCGAAAGCCGGAUUAAUACCGCAUACGACCUACGGGUGAAAGCAGGGGAUCGCAAGACCUUGCGCUAUUGGAGCGGCCGAUGUCAGAUUAGGUAGUUGGUGGGGUAAAAGCCUACCAAGCCUACGAUCUGUAGCUGGUCUGAGAGGACGACCAGCCACACUGGGACUGAGACACGGCCCAGACUCCUACGGGAGGCAGCAGUGGGGGAUUUGGACAAUGGGCGCAAGCCUGAUCCAGCCAUGCGCGUGCGGAAGAAGGCCUUCGGGUGUAAACCGCUUUGUCAGGAAGAAACGCUUCGGAUUAAUACCCUGGGUAAUGACGGUACCUGAAGAAUAAGACACCGGACUAACUACGUAGCCAGCAGCCGC